rnacentral:lncRNA from 1 species
UCAACCUCGACAUUUCAGUCUCGAGCUCAAGAAUUCUAGCACUCCACCCAAGAAUAACUUUCUCCUUAUUUUGAAGCCUGUUAAUAGCAACCUUACCAGUAGUUACAGCCUAUAAAAAGCAAAAAAAGCAAAAAGUGUAUCAAGGAAACAAUUUCAAAUGGUCAAGGAAAAAUACUAAAAACAACAACAAAAGUCACACCUUGUAGCCGAGGGUAGCCAUAAUCCUCGCCAAAUGGUCAGGUUCAUAACAGCGCAAGGACUUUUCAUAUUCUACAAAAUAAAAGUGAAAAUCUUAAGCAAAGGUCACAUAAGAAAAGAGAGGCAGAAGAGAAGUCCCAUAAAUACUAACCCUCGGGAUCAAAAUAACUGCCCCGGGUGUCACUUUGAACAGAAGCCUUAACCCUCGUAGGAGUUUGAGGAUUUUUCUCUUCAUCUUUAGCAAGUUCACCCUCCUCAAGAACCUUGGAAGAAACAUUGAUCUUAGAUGUCUCCUUCAAAGCUACUUCCGCCGUCUCACCUACAACCCAAAGUGAGUCCCUCGAUCCCCAUAGUAGUGGAGGAUUGAAUGGAUCAUCGUCCUCACCUAACCCGGC